UGGCAUUCCUUGAUAAAUUAUUUUCCAUGUCGUCGUCUUUUCAUCAUUCAUAAAUCGUCAUUCGUUUCGUUUUCCCUCUCAUCCCUGAGGACUUGGGGGUGGAAUCUGCUGUUUCACAGUCGCUGUCGAGAGAACCCACCGACUUUGCUCAUGGAAGACUGCAAAGUUCUCGCGAGCGCCGCGAGGAGGAGGAGGAGGAGGAGGAGCGAAUUCGUUGCUUCUGUAAAAGACGAUGGAUGGGGGAGGCAUCUGAAGAAAUAAGAGUCGUCGCUUGUCGUGGCGUUGGAAGACAGUCAUUGUGGAAGCUGCUGCCUUGGAGAGGAGAUGAGAUCCGAUCAUUUCCAUAGUGCUGGUCAGGUGUUUGACGAAAUGCGAAUUUGGAGUAGGAACUGGGUGAUGAAAUUGCUGGAUGUAGCGAGAAAGCAUAUGAUUAUUUGUCAAAUUGGUGAUGCACGGCAAACGUUGCUCUUCUCCUGCGACCAAGCACUUGCAGCAUAUAUUAAGGAGGAGCAUCCCCAGUGGCAGAUUAAAAGCGGGUUUGUAUAUUUUCAAAAGGCCAAGGAAUCUGCAUCUUCAAAGGAAAUUCCUUCCCUGCAGCUUAUCAAUCAGACAUUGGGUCACACAAGAGAGCUGGAGCAGAUUGUUUAGGACUUGUGGCAGUGCGUGGUGGUUUGCACUGGUAUUUGCACACUUUGAAGAUUGGUUAUUUUAUGCUGAUGGCAUCUCAUCCCUUUUGCUCUUUUUGAGAAAUUUGAUACUUAUUUUUAGUAAUCAUAUCCAUUUCCUUGUUGAAUACAAUUUUGUAUUUGAUCAGUAGUAUAUUUUCCUUGGUUUACCUGCUUGGAAGAACCAGAAACUGAAAUCAGUCUAGUCACAUGGAGAUGGACAACUUGUCGAAUGUAUACGUCGUUCUUAAUCAGUCUAACCCUAUGAAAAGGCCUUGAUACAAUAAGGUUUAAUCUGUCAUAGUAGAAUCGAAUAUAUGCACAUGUGGUGACAUCAAUUGUCUCCAUUGGUCAAAGAGUUGCAAAGCAUUGACAUAGGAAAGCCAACUAGGUUUGCUUGUGUCUAGUUCAAUUUUUAGUGCAGUAGGUUGAAAUAGCCACUGGCUGUGGGCUUGUGCUUGCUCCUGAUUGAUGGUAUUCCGAAGAGACGGCAUAGGACAAUCAUAUAAGAAAUUUCUUUUCCCCUUAUUUUUUCCUAGACUCCGGAUUGAGCUCUGUGAACAUGUGAUUUUGCUUUCUACAUUUGCUGCAUAACACUCUCAAGACUGAGCAGAGUCAAUGAAUUUGUGGUUUGCAAUUUCAUAGAGUCUUGAGUGAUCCAUGAUGUAGCCUUUGCAUGGCAAAGUCGUUGCUAAAUGCUGUUGCCCCUCUCUGAUAAAUGAUGUUCCUCCUGCUGCGAAAGAAAAUGAAAGUCAUCCUUAGUUUGCUUAAUUGAUACUUCUAACGGAUCGGGAAAGAGCAAGAGGAAGAAUUUAAUGGGUGGGUAUGCAACAAUGGUCCGCCUCUUUUGAAUCCUGGCGUUAUGAUGAAUUAACUCCUUGCUGUUAGGAUGUGACCAUCAUUGAUGGAUCUCAUCAUAUCUUAUAAUGAUGGAAUACUGAACAUUUAAGGAAUUCCCAAUCACCCAAAUGUUUUCAAUUUCUUAAUACUUAUUUUCUUGUUUAUUCCUCCUUGUUUUUUUUUUUUUUUUUUUUUUAAAUUAUCGUUGGCUUUUCUUGUUUCUUUUCAGUAGGCCCUUCUGCUCCACAAUGCAUGUUUUGUUUCCAUCUUUACAAUGUAGUCUUACUUGAUCUUCAAGAUGAUGAUACUAAUAAAAAGCUGACAAGUGCAAAGACUUUGCCACCUCACUUUUCAUUGGGUUCACAGGAUCUUUUGCAAAACCGCACUUUCAUUGGAUUUGCAUGCACAGUGGACCACGGCGAAUGCUUGAGACUUAUAUAGAAGAUGCACGACAUAAGUUAGAGUUGGUUUUGGUGAGAAAGAUUAAAUGUCAUUCAGUUGCUGAAUUGAAUAUGGAAGCCUCAAAUCACCUGACUUCCUAAAGAUGCUGUUAUUAUAAGUGUGAAGAUGGAAGAUCAAGAUGCCUUUGAGCAAGAUUUUUUUCAACUGAAGCCUUAUUAUACAAAUGCAGGGUAACUUUUGACCUGGCGUUGCUUAAAAUUGUUUGUUCAUACUCAUGGGCACGAGGCCUGAAUUGCUAGAUUAUGAGAAAGAGUUCUCAUCCUUAUUGCUUUAUUGAACAUUUUGCACUCAUCAUUUUUAUGUAAACUUACUUGAGAAUUCUUCUGGUUGAGCAGUGGCCGUAUUCCACCAUCUCCUCAAGAGUACCCUAUUUUAGAUCUCAGCCUGUUGAGACUCCUUUUGCGGAAUGGAAUAGCUGAGUUCCAUACCGAACUUGAAUUGCUUUCAUAUGCCACCCUAGAGAAUCCUUGCAUCAAAUGCCGUUGAGUUGGAGCAAUCUUUCAUGGAAGGGGCCUAUAAUCGUGUUUUGAGCUAGGCAGACGGUGUCUCAUGAGACUUGUGUUACUAGUUUAUAUCCUUUUCAAUGAUUAUGAUAAUUUAUCCUAUUCUGGGAUCAUAGACAGAUAUAAAACUUACACUUGUCACAUCUACUUGUCAUUUGGCCCUUGCUGUCACUCUGGUGGGGUCAAACUUGGCUGGUGGGUUCAGUACUAAAACCUCGUGCUUGUAAAAGUGCUGAUGUAGAUAGUAAACAGUAGAUUCAUAUCCAUGUAAAAAGCUGCAAUGUGGAGCUUGAACAUUUCUAUCUCCGUUGGAAUGCAGGAACAUCCCAAGUGGGAGAUUAAGAGUGGGUAUGCAUAUUUCCAGAAGGCAAAGGAAUGUGCACCUUUGAAGGAAAUUCCAUCCAUGCGGCUUACCAAUCAGACUUUGAGUUAGGCAAGAGAGUUGGAGUGGAUUGUUUAGGACCUUCUGCCGUGCACGGUGGUUUGCACUGGUAUUUGCAGACUUCAGAGAUUGGUUAUAUUUUGCUAAUGGCAUCCCACCUUUUGCCCAUUUCGAGAGACUUGAUAUUCUUUUUAAUGUCUGUAACUUUAUUUGAUCAUUAUGAUGGAAUUUAUCUCAGCGAUCAUGUUAGUACUCA